rnacentral:rRNA from 1 species
AUUAAACGCUGGCGGCAUGCCUUACACAUGCAAGUCGAACGGCAGCACGGGGCAACCUGGUGGCGAGUGGCGAACGGGUGAGUAAAGCAUCGGAACGUGCCCUGGAGUGGGGGAUAACGUAGCGAAAGUUACGCUAAUACCGCAUAUUCUGUGAGCAGGAAAGCAGGGGAUCGCAAGACCUUGCGCUCUGGGAGCGGCCGAUGUCGGAUUAGCUAGUUGGUGAGGUAAAGGCUCACCAAGGCGACGAUCCGUAGCUGGUCUGAGAGGACGACCAGCCACACUGGAACUGAGACACGGUCCAGACUCCUACGGGAGGCAGCAGUGGGGAAUUUUGGACAAUGGGCGCAAGCCUGAUCCAGCCAUUCCGCGUGAGUGAAGAAGGCCUCGGUUGU